CAGUCGCCGCGGUAAUACGUAGGUGGCAAGCGUUGUCCGGAAUUAUUGAGCGUAAAGGGCUCGCAGGCGGUUUCUUAAGUCUGAUGUGAAAGCCCCCGGCUCAACCGGGGAGGGUCAUUGGAAACUGGGAAACUUGAGUGCAGAAGAGGAGAGUGGAAUUCCACGUGUAGCGGUGAAAUGCGUAGAGAUGUGGAGGAACACCAGUGGCGAAGGCGACUCUCUGGUCUGUAACUGACGCUGAGGAGCGAAAGCGUGGGGAGCGAACAGGAUUAGAUACCCCCGUAGUCCCUGUCUCUUAUAA
rnacentral:rRNA from 1 species